UACGGGGGGAGCAAGCGUUGUUCGGAUUUACUGGGCGUAAAGGGCGCGUAGGCGGCCAGCGCAAGUCAGUUGUGAAAUCUCCGAGCUUAACUCGGAAAGGUCAACUGAUACUGCGCGGCUAGAGUGCAGAAGGGGCAACUGGAAUUCUCGGUGUAGCGGUGAAAUGCGUAGAUAUCGAGAGGAACACCUGCGGCGAAGGCGGGUUGCUGGGCUGACACUGACGCUGAGGCGCGAAAGCGUGGGGAGCGAACAGG
rnacentral:rRNA from 1 species